ensembl:lncRNA
UGAGACGGAAAUGUUAAUCAAAAACAGCGGUCACCAAAAUGUGGUGUGAAACAUCCUGUGUUUCACAGAAGAAAGAAAAUCAGGUUUGGAACAACAACAGGAACAACGUCACACACCGUGGCCUUGAGUGAGCAGAGGCCGGAGGCCUAGAGUGAGCCGCGGUCUAGAGUGAUCCGCGGCGGGCUUGAAUGAGCAGAGGUGGGCGGCUUGAGAAUGGUGCGGCAGGUGGAUUCUACAAAGGAGCGUACCUUGGUCUUGCAGCAACCACAUGUGAUGACCCCGGGCUGGACGCCGCUUCAUCCACGGUGAAAGCUGAUUCGGCGAUCCACAGUGCAAAGUUGAUGUAUUUCCUCAGCGACCAGCACGGAUCAGCUCUAGGCAUGACAAAGCGGAUAUCGUCCUCUUUUGGAAGGCCAAAUAAAGUAGUUUCGCUUUCACAGUGAAACACACAGUGUCUAUAUGACAUGGCGGCGGCAACAACAAUACUACAACAAGAAUAAAAGCAAUGAGCGUGACGAAUGGUCCAUUUUCCACAAGCAGAGUUGGAGAGAGAGAGAAAAAGAGUGGAUUUAAAAUGGGGUCCCUGCUCCUUCUCUGCAUGGGCUCUCAGCGGGUGGUGACACAGGUAGACCCCAAGACAUUUUUUCACAGUAAACCUCAUCUAUUAUUUUAUUUCCAGCAAAAGCAUUCCCCAUCAUAUCUGCAG